AGCUACUAUCCCUGACUCCAUGUUCUCUGGAUAGACAUUAGUAAUAUUGGAAUGAAUUGUAAUUUAAUUUUCAAUUGCUUACAAAAAGGUCUGUCAAUUAUAACACAAUCUCUUUAUGUCCCUAAAUAGAUGAUUUCACUAUCUAUUGAUAGUGAAUACUUAGUGAAUAUUGAUAGUGAUAAUGACUUACAAUCUUUUUUUUUCUGAAUAAUAAACCUUUACCAAAUGCCAAAUUAAAGCAAAAAACAAACAAACAAACAAACAAACCAAUGAGCUAAAGUGUUGGCCAAAAUGUUGAAUCUAACAACUUUGUAGAGGUCAUUUAGUCUCAUUGUUUCAGUUUAUGUCUAUUCACAGUAAGUGAUAGUAAUUAAGUAAACAUACUUUACUUUACUUUUAAGUCAAUGAAUUCAUCAGUGUUGAUAUCACUGUAAAAUAUUAUUACAGUAGAGAGUCCUCCAUUUAUACUCUGUGGCUAUGUUGAUAAGCUGUUAAGCAAGGACCACAUUAAAAAACAAGCUUGAAUGUUUUUAGUAGACCAACAUCUACGUCUUUGUUAUCCAUCUAUCCAGUGGCUCAAAAUCCAUAGAGUAUUAAAUGUAACCAUUCUCUGUAGGAGUUAAGAUUUGCAACAAAAGGUGACUAUGAACAAGCUCAUAAAUAUCUGAGAAUAUGCGCCUGGAAGAAAACUAAUAAUAUGUGCUGAAAGUUGAUUUAUCAUUUUCUGUGAUCUUCUUAAACGAUUUAAAAGUUGAAAUUUCACACAUGUCAAGGAAAAAGGAAGCUUAUUAUUUUUCCACAAUAAGUAGAAUACACACAAACACUACAUCCUCUAAGUAACAACAAAAUGGAAAUUUACUGAUGUCAUAUAAGAAACAAUGCUAGAUCAAAAUUCAUAAAUGAUGAUUGUUAGUUACCUUUGGUGCAAGUUAGGUCACUGCUUCAGCUUUGAAUUAAUACUUAAAUUCUAUCAAUAUUGUUUGUAAUUAAUAAAAUUUUUAGAAUACUUUAUUUGAUGGAAGAGAGCAUAUAACUAUUGUUCCUUACCACUCCCUUGAAAAUUAAUUAAUGCUUGUGGCCGUCUCCUUGUACACAACUGCAUUAAUUUCCAGCAAAGACAAAAUAAGAAAAUCAUCCAUAAAGUUAUGUACCAUAUUAAUUUAAAAUCAUUACAUUAAAUCUUUUUUAAGGUUAUUUGGAAGAGGAACAACUCAUUACCUUCUUGGCUAUUUUGAAAGAGGAAGAAAGCAGUUUCUAUUAUCACUUGACUACUUGAGUUCUAAAUCUGUAUUAAAUCUCAUAUUCCCUAUCUUGCAUAUCCUUUCUUAGAAGUUGUCAUGGGUACAUUAAAAAAGGGAUUAAUUCCAUGGAAUCUCAGAAAAUUGGGAUUUGGUUGUUUAAUUUCAUUUUUUGGGCUUUGGUUAUACCAAUUGCAAGUAGGAAUUGUUUACACAAAAUCUUCCUCUUUCCUUUCUACAUUUUAUUUGUAAGUAACUUUUUACAAAAUUACUCUACACAAUUCUUCCCUGUACAUAUGUAAACAUACCAGUGUACGAAUCUUAACUGUGGAGUAGAAGUACUAGAAUGCUUGUGGCCGUCUCCUUGUACACAACUGCAUUGAUUUCCAGCAAAGACAAAAUAAGAAAGUCAUCCAUAAAAUUAUGUACCAUAUUAUCUGUUUUUUAUAUCUUAAAUAUUAUUUAUUUCUGUUAACAUACCUAGUAUGUGCUGUACUUAGCAUUCAAUAAGCAAUGUAUAAAUGUGUUUUGAUUGGCAAUAUGUAUUUACUUUAACUUGUAUUUUCAAAGCAUUACUCAAUUAGUUUUAUGUUGUGGAAUUGUAGAUGGCCUCUAACUAAUGUAAAAUGAUUUGUAGUGGGA
ensembl:lncRNA